AGAGAUGAUCAUACUUAUGGAAACUCAGAUGCCUUGCACUGCUGCCGGAUCAAGGAUGGAGUGAACUAAAACACUUUGCUAUUACAACUAGCCCUCCAUGUUCCAUGAAUCGACAGGGGAAGAAUUGGCAAUGCUAAAUUGGUGAGAAGAGAGCAAGAGGAAGAUGAUGAGUUGACAUGGAAAAGCGACUUGCGAUAUGUUCAACGGAUCACCAUGUCAAGGAAUGAGCAGUUAAAUAAGAGUCUUUUCGACAAAAGUAAGAGGGAGUAUUUCAUAACUAAACAGGUUUUAUGUACAAUCUGUUACUGACUGGCAUUGUGAAAAACGCAGAGAAAAAUGAAGCCUGAGGACGCUAUCAGCCUUUCCUGUCAAGUAUUGGCCACUACUAUCUGCAUUAGCUUCACCUCAGAACAUGCCCUUUUUCACUUGGAGAGAGGAAGUAGGAGUUCUCAGUGAUGAUCAUCUACAAGGUACCAUACAUGUUUGUUGAUUGACUAACAAAGACAAAGGCUGUACCAUUAUUGAUGUUUCUAUAGCAUUGUUUCCAGCUGCUGUAACACCUGUUUUUACACUUGCGAGUAUGAACUAUUUGGCUAUAUUUUAUAGAACUUAUGUACCGAUGUAGAAUGGUAUAUCAUGCUUUUAUACUUUAUGAUAUACCUUUUUGUUGUAGUAUUUUGGAAAGUUGCAAUGCUCAACAUUUGUAUAGACUUCUAUCAUAAUGAUCCUCUCCUUGCCAGUUGGGCCUUCAAAAUGAAUGUUUUUCUCGCUAGCACACAGCCGGCAGCCCAGUGGGCGGGCGGCACCCAUGCCAGCUUCCAAAAAGAACGGCCACGACCGAUCGGACGACCUAGUUCAGGCCGUCGGCGUCCAACAUCUCCUUCUGCUUGGCCUCGAACCACGCCCUCGUUCUCGUCGAUUGCGGCCUUGCGCCGUGCGGCCUCCAUCGCAUCGCGCAUGGCGACGAACUUGGCCGCGGCGGCAUUCCCCUUGACGACCGCCCUCCGGUUCCUCCUCUUUGCCGAUUCCACGUCCAACUUGGCGAUCUCCUCCGGUGUGCACUCCAACAGUGGCUUCCUUGGCGCCUUGGCCGCCUUAUUCUUCACCUUUC